UACGAAGGGGGCUAGCGUUGCUCGGAAUCACUGGGCGUAAAGGGUGCGUAGGCGGGUUUUAAGUCAGGGUGAAAUCCUGGAGCUCAACUCCAGAACUGCCUUUGAUACUGAAGAUCUUGAGUCCGGAGAGGUGAGUGGAACUGCGAGUGUAGAGGUGAAAUUCGUAGAUAUUCGCAAGAACACCAGUGGCGAAGGCGGCUCACUGGACCGGAACUGACGCUGAGGCGCGAAAGCGUGGGAGCAAACGGG
rnacentral:rRNA from 1 species